GCUGGGCGUGGUGGCUCACACCUGUAGUCCUAGCUACUCAGGAGGCUGAGGCAGGAGGAUCACUUGAGUGCAGGAAUUGGAGGCUGCAGUGAACUGUAAUCACAUCACUGUGCCCCAGCCUGGGCAACAGAGUGAGACCCUGUCUUUC
ensembl:misc_RNA Metazoa_SRP Metazoan signal recognition particle RNA